GGACCUCCUGACUCCUGUGGAAGGAGUGAUCGUCUAGUGGCAAUUCUCUAACAUCAGUAGUACUGUAAAACCCCAUUAACAACAGGAUGUUGAUGUAGAAAAGAAGAGAGAAAAUGUCUACUGUGCAAGGUUUUUUCUCUUUUUUUUCUUUUACAGAAGAUUUAUUUGUAAUGGGUUAUAUAGCUUUCUGCUGCUUAUGUC
rnacentral:lncRNA from 1 species